AUUGCCUCAGUAACGGCGAGUGAAGCGGCAACAGCUCAAAUUUGAAAUCUGGCCCUAGGCCCGAGUUGUAAUUUGCAGAGGAUGCUUUUGGUGAGGUGCCUUCCGAGUUCCCUGGAACGGGACGCCAUAGAGGGUGAGAGCCCCGUCUGGUCGGACACCGAGCCUCUGUAAAGCUCCUUCGACGAGUCGAGUAGUUUGGGAAUGCUGCUCAAAAUGGGAGGUAUAUGUCUUCUAAAGCUAAAUAUUGGCCAGAGACCGAUAGCGCACAAGUAGAGUGAUCGAAAGAUGAAAAGCACUUUGAAAAGAGAGUUAAAUAGCACGUGAAAUUGUUGAAAGGGAAGCGUUUAUGACCAGACUUGGCCCGGUUGAUCAUCCAGCGUUCUCGCUGGUGCACUCUGCCGGUCCAGGCCAGCAUCAGUUCGUCGCGGGGGAUAAAGGUUUCGGGAAUGUGGCUCCUCCGGGAGUGUUAUAGCCCGUUGCGUAAUACCCUGCGGUGGACUGAGGUCCGCGCUUCUGCAAGGAUGCUGGCGUAAUGGUCAUCAACGACCCGUCUUGAAACACGGACCAAGGAGUCGUCUUCGUAUGCGAGUGUUCGGGUGUAAAACCCCUACGCGUAAUGAAAGUGAACGCAGGUGAGAGCUUCGGCGCAUCAUCGACCGAUCCUGAUGUUCUCGGAUGGAUUUGAGUAAGAGCAUACGGGGCCGGACCCGAAAGAAGGUGAACUAUGCCUGUAUAGGGUGAAGCCAGAGGAAACUCUGGUGGAGGCUCGCAGCGGUUCUGACGUGCAAAUCGAUCGUCAAAUAUGGGCAUGGGGGCGAAAGAC
rnacentral:rRNA from 1 species